rnacentral:rRNA from 1 species
GAUGAACGCUGGCGGCGUGCCUAAUACAUGCAAGUCGAGCGAACAGACGAGGAGCUUGCGCCUCUGACGUUAGCGGCGGACGGGUGAGUAACACGUGGAUAACCUACCUAUAAGACUGGGAUAACUUCGGGAAACCGGCGCUAAUACCGGAUAAUAUAUUGAACCGCAUGGUUCAAUAGUGAAAGACGGCUUUGCUGUAACGUAUAGAUGGAUCCGCGCCGCAUUAGCUAGUUGGUAAGCUAACGGCUUACCAAGGCGACGAUGCGUAGCCGACCGGAGGGGCUGAUAGGCCACCUGGGAACGUGGACACGGUCCUGGCUCCUACGGGAGGCAGCAGUAGGGAAUCUGCCGCAAUGGUCGAGAGCCUGGCGCAGCAACGCCGCGUGAGUGAUGACGGUCUUCGGAUCGUAAAGCUCUGUUAUGAGUUAAGAACAAAUGUGUAAGUAACUGUGCACGUCUUGACGGUACCUAGUCAGAAAGCCACGGCUAACUACGUG